CAAGUACUCCCUCUGUUCCGAAUUACUCGUCGCAGGUAUGGAUGUAUCUAGAUGUAUUUUAGUUCUAGAUACAUCCAUUUCUGCGACGAGUAAUUUGGAACGGAGGGAGUAGUAC
rnacentral:pre_miRNA from 1 species